GACGGAAAGACCCCGUGAACCUUUACUAUAGCUUGACACUGAACACUGGUCCUUGAUGUGUAGGAUAGGUGGGAGGCUUUGAAGCGUGGACGCCAGUCUGCGUGGAGCCGUCCUUGAAAUACCACCCUUUAAUGGCUGGUGUUCUAACGUAGACCCGUAAUCCGGGUUGCGGACAGUGUCUGGUGGGUAGUUUGACUGGGGCGGUCUCCUCCCAAAGAGUAA
rnacentral:rRNA from 1 species